CUCUACAUCCUGUGUGGUUAGCAUGACUCACUCUCAAAAGCGCCACCAUCUUGACCACAGACUCAGGAACACCAAGGUCUUCAGGAACCCACUAACGGCCCUCCCAGGGUCUUCCCCUCCCCCGCCCCACACCCCCUCGAGGUUGGGUGGGUUUCGGAACCAGCGCCAGAAGAGCACACGCACAGCUCAUCGGCAGCCCAGCCGCAAGGGAAGCUCACGCGGCGGCGCCAGCGCUGGGUAGAGCAAAAGGGGACUGAGUGAGCAGACAUCCGGCAGAGCCUACCACCGUGAUCCUUAAGGAAACCGGGAGCCUGCGUGGAUGACUAACCCGUCAGGACCCGGCAGCCAACCUUGGCAGCUUCCAGAAGAGUUAGGAAAAUGUGGGGCAACAACCAGAGGGAUUCAUUGCGCUGCCUAUUCUGUUGUAGUUGCAUUUUCUGUCACGUACUACCUUAAAAAAAGAAGGGGGGGCUUUAGGUGUGGGGGGACCCCAGGUAAACCCAAAACCGCCUCAGGCUGGUCAAGGUCAAGGUUGUGAGGUUGUGGCGGCAACUCCUCGGCCAGCACUCCAGCCUGCCCUGCCGCGCAAAGGAACCCCUUAGAGCUGGGACGGGAGCCGAAUCCGGCCGGCGAGGGCCGCCCUGGGGCGCUGCAGGCCAAACAGGCCGAGACUCGGGGGACGGACGACACCAGCCGAAACUGGCCUAAACGGAACCACAAGACCACCACAGCCAGAAAACACGGCCGCGCCUGCGCAGCGGAACCCGCCCCGCCCCGCCCGUACACCGCGCCUGCGCGCUGGGCCCCCAACGCCCGCUCCGCCCGGCCUGUGACGCGACGUGCACGUGGGCGGGGCUCUAGCUCCCGGGACCUGCCGGCUCGCGGCCUGUGGGCGGAGGCCCUGGUAAAGCCGCCGGCAGCGAGAGCUGCGAAGCUUUCUCGGUCGCCCGCGCGCUCCCGGGAAACGGAAUCUCCCUCCGUUGUAGAGCGGAGGGGACCCUGCAGGGAAGCCUGGAGCUGCUGCACUCAUUCAUUCCGCGUUUGCUGACCCGCUCCCCAGUGCUGUGCCGGGUGCAGGAGAUCCAGUAGGGGAAGGACUGGCAAGGCCCCGUCUGUCCGGGCCUCACAGCCCAGUAGGGAAGCUCAGGUAACAGGCCAGACCGUGCCAUUCUGACAGUACUGCAGACGUGAGGACAAUGAAGUCCGACAUUGCUGUGGUGACCAGAGGAAGAGCUCAAGCUGGUUCUGCCUGAGCUGAGGCAUGAGCCCGCGGUGCUCCAGGCUACCAGAGAGAGAGAGACCCAG
rnacentral:lncRNA from 1 species